rnacentral:snRNA from 1 species
AUCGCUUCUCGGCCUUUUGGCUAAGAUCAAGUGUAGUAUCUGUUCUUAUCAGUUUAAAAAGAGAUCAAAUCUACAUGAUUUCUAUUACCAUAUACUGUUAUAGGUGCUAUAUUUU